rnacentral:rRNA from 1 species
AGCAGCCGCGGUAAUUCCAGCUCCAAUAGCGUAUAUUAAAGUUGUUGCAGUUAAAAAGCUCGUAGUUGAAUUUCGGAAUCUGUCCGUUGGUCGGGCUUCAUUGUCCGUACUGAUGUGAUGGGUUCUUACCUUCUGAAUAACCAGCAUGUCAUUAAUUUGGUGUGUUGGGGAAGCAGGACUAUUACCUUAGAAAAAAUUAGAGUGCUACAAAGCAGGCUAGUGCCUGAAUACAUUAGCAUGGAAUAAUAAAAUAGGACGGCAUGGUUCUAUUUUGUUGGUUUCUAGGAUCACCGUAAUGAUUAAUAGGGAUAGUUGGGGGCAUUAGUAUUCAAUUGUCAGAGGUGAAAUUCUUGGAUUUAUUGAAGACUAACUUCUGCGAAAGCAUUUGCCAAGGAUGUUUUCAUUAAUCAAGAACGAAAGUUAGGGGAUCGAAGACGAUCAGAUACCGUCGUAGUCUUAACCAUAAACUAUAGCCGACUAGGGAUUCGGACGAUGUUAAUUUUAUAAUGACUCGUUAC